AAACAGUAAACCCUUAUUUUCAGAAGAUUUCUCAAGCACCCUGUUCUAUCUUCUGCCUCUCUGAAACCAUUUCGAGCAGAAUAUUAGCUUUUUAUCUGUUUAAUCCGCAGGUGUUAGUUAAUAUCGUUGAGGGGAAGGUAUAAGAGUAUUCUUCUCUUAAUGUUAAACCCAAGUUUCACGUUGAAAGGCGUUUUAAUGAGGCGAUGGAAUUAUAAUGCACUUCUCUUGGUCUACUAAGGCACGUGCACGAUAGGCCAUAUUGAUGUAUCAGGAGAACAGGGAUGCAAGGAUUUAUCUAUUUUGAAACUACAGUCAUUGCCUGGAAUCAAAGAAAGAAUGACAUGUUAAAAUCAAUCUGCUUUGUGGGACCUUCAUUGGUGCAAUACUAGAUGCCAAUUGUUUCAUUAAAAAGCUUAAAGAAGUGACACCAGCAGGAACUAUUACCGAUGCAGUUGAUUGCAUUGGCAAAUAAUGCGGGGGCCAAAGUAUAUGAGUCACAGUCAAUGAUGUAUUGAGAAGCCAACAGUAACCCCACACCCUGAGCUCUUUCUACCUCACUUAGAUUUGCAGGUGUGCAAGGCACACAUAUAAUAAUAUUUUGGGUGCUAAGUUCAUGUUAACAAUCCUCUUAACAUGUAGGUUGCAGGCACCAAUGCAACCUGCAUGCAUGUGUCUAUUUCAAGAAUUGCACCUAUGGUAGUUCUUUGGUUGUCCUAUCAUUUAAUGCUGAGGAAAGAGGAUGGAGACAAAGAAUUUAAUAGCACUGCCCCGUCAAACCAUGUAUUUGUUGUCAUAUUCAUGUGCUGAAAGUACUAAAAAAUUUAGCAGCGGCACUCGAAUAUAACACUAUAUGUUCUUCACAUCAAAUGAUCAAUAGGGGAAUGCACAAAGACCAGAAGUACGUACAGUCACAUGGAAAAUUGAUGAGUUUUCUGGAUGAUUAUUGUAGGUAUGAAGGUUUUCAAUUGCACAAGUUCUGAGUGUGAUUACUCAAAAACAUUAGCUCUAAGGGAUUCUUAAAACGCAGGUCCAGCAAUCCCAGGUUAUGUAAGUCAUGAAGGUGAAGAGAAAAUUGCACGUUCUAAUGUCCGUGAACAAGAUAAAUGUUUAGAGUGAAAGAAAAACGGAUUUAGAACUAUGUGCUGAUUCAGAGCCCCCGUCUCAGUAUCCAAGCGAAGACGAUGCCAAAGUGGAUGAAAGAAAGAUUAAGACGCUUGAGAAUCUCCAAAGCAAACAAAGGAAAUGUUUCUGGAACAAAGGCAGGAAACACAGUUCGAGUUUUACUUUUUUUUGCUUUCCAGUCUGCAAGUUGUAUAUAUUAGCAGUUUUCCUUUCACUGUCUCAAUAAACUGUUCUCAAGGUAUAUGAUGACUACCAGUAAUCAGCUGAGAUGAAUUUGAGGUUUGAUCUCCUACUUGGAUACACAGAUGGAUUAGUGCGAAACCACACGUCGGAUAAUGGAUUAUAACAGCCAGCAAUGAGUUCCUCUCUGUCGGACUUCACAAACAGGACCUCACCUCCCAUGCAUGCCCUUUAAGUAUCGCUGUAAGGCGUCUUUUUUAGGCGCUGCUGCGUUGCUGUCUCUACUCUUAUAAGGUGGUGUUGCUGCUGUAGCCAUUGUUGCACCUACAGCUGAGGAGAAGAAUGCAGUGUUCUUCAUUUGAGACAUCUGCCCAGAGAGCUGAUAGAGCUGAUGCCAAGGUUGUCGUGGCAGUGGCACAGUGCAACAGAGAAAUGAAUCCUUAAGGAUCAUGAUUCAAGCAUACCAGUAACUAGCAGUGCAUCAACAAAGUAUGUGUAUAUGUAAUGGAUGUAUAUUGCAAGUGGAAUGGAGAUUGGGAUUGUUGUAGACCAAGCGAAAUCAGAAAUAGCAUACAGAGAUUAACUACGAUUUCAUUUGAGAGAACUUGAAUAUACUAUAUUGGGAUGACAAGUUCGAUAUCGUACAGAAAUUUUGUGAAGUACCAUGAAUCACAGUUGUCAAUACCGCCAGCUACAGAUACAAGUACGUGGAAACUUGCGAAAACAACAAUUUUCAGGAAUAUCGAGCAGUAUCCCGGUGCCUCCAAAGGUGCAUUCUGAUCGUGAGAUAUCAUGCGUAAAGAAUUGCUGGUGGGUUAGAGAUUUUGAAGGUCGUAAGCAGUACAACAAAAAGAAUACUUGCAUUGCAUACAAUUCCAGUUAUAAGUAUGUUACCAAAAGAAUUAAGGACAACAGUGUGAUCUAUGAGCCGAACCACACUUUUGGACAUAUCCCAACGCUUAAAAAUAUCAAGGUAGAUGAAUGCAGCCGUCCUAACUGGCCAUAGUCAUGCAUAAGGAGAUCAUACAAAAUGGACAGGGGAGUUGCACAGGAAAAAAGUACUUCAUUGACGUUGCUGAGGUACGCUACUUUAGUGAUUCUCCGAGUUAUGCGUAGGAAGUUACCCAACUAUAGAAGAAAAGAAAUGUUCACGGUAAUCCAUCAAGCAACUGCUUUCAGAAAGGUUUGUGCGUGUCAUCCUCAGGUAGGUGGUUUAUUAGAACUGACCUUCUCCUGCUACUCAUUCCUCAGGUAUAACUCGCUCUCUCCAUUAUUAGUAAUCUCAAUUAACUCUGUAACAUAAAUAAAUUCAUAAAAACUGUGAGAAACAGUACACAUACGUAAAAAAAACUUCUAUGCUCAGGUAGCCUUGAUGGAAGCAGAGAUCAAUACUAAACUAUCUACAAAGAAAAUUAUAGAACUUCAGUUCUGUAAGUUAGCUAUGGAAUUGGUCAUUUAUCUUCAUACACACACACAACUUGGUGUCUAUGUUGUCAAAGGCGUCGCCUAGGCGUCAAAGUGGCCUUAUUUUGAGCUUGGGCGCCACGCAGUGGGUAAGGAGAUGCCACUUUUAAAAGUGGCGCCCAGGCGUCUCCUUUCUAGGCGCUCAGGCCAAGGCGCCAGUUUGCUGGGUGCCAAAAUGACAUUUUGUACCAAGAAAGAAAAAAAAAUAUUCCCAAAAUCUUUGGAAAAUCUUUUUCAUCAAGUCAUACAUUAAUAUUUCUAAACCCUAAGCUAAUUAUGGUAAGAAACAGAUCAUUCCUAGCUGUUUUUGUUAAUUACUUAAACAAUAAUAAAGGAAAAAAAAUCUUUCUAAAUCCUUUGCAAAUCUUUUUCAUUAAGAUUUACAAGCUAAUAUAGAAAGUCUAAACUAAUUAUCAGUUAUGUCAAGAACAUAACAUUUAGUAUUAGUUAUUUUUGAUACUUAUUGUUCUAUGAUGCGGCUUCGCCGCGCCUCGCUGCGGCUUGGGAUUUUACACCCGACGCCGCGCGGCGCCUUACGCCCAUGACAACAUAGCUUGGUGUAUUACUAUUUAGCUCUUUAUGCUUAUUAUCUGUCAGCUUUAACAAACUACUUUUAUACCAUUGGUUCGCUCAAUUAUGCUUGGACAAGACUUCUUUUAGUUGAGAAUCGAAUCGAUGAAUGUAAUCUUAUUUAUUCGUUGUUGAAUUCAUGGGUGUUGCUACAUGUUGUAAUAUCCACAGAAACAACUGAUGUGGUUGUAUCUUGGGCUAUUUAAGCAGAUAACUCCAAUACAUAUCAAGUUUGGAAAGGCUGAUUUUUUUCCUACAAAUAGUUCUCAGUCCUUACGCAUGGUGGAAAUUGUUAGAGGAUGUUGUACACUGUAAAGAAAAGAAAUGGAAAACUUGGUAAGCCUGAGGUUUUCCCAGAAGCCUUUGUGCAUAAUGACUUAUUAACAGUGUAGCAAACACAAUGGUGGAAUGCAGCAUGGAUGGGGUUGUAGCAAACAAAGAAAGGUAUGACUUUAGAAGCACAGUAUCUUCUUGGAAAGUGGUAGCUAAAGCUUCUUUUUCAUAACCAUGCAAAGAGUUUUAUAAUCUGCAGCCAUGGGGAAAAAAUUGUUUUUAAGUGUAGCUGCACGUCUAUCAGGUGCCAUAAAUGUUGCAAAAAGAUGCAAGAUAAAGUGGUUUAGUGGUCGGUGCUUGCAGAUGGUGGUGGAUGUGGUAGUUUCGGUGUUUGGAUUCAAUAUACAUCUGCUAACACUGUUAGACCCAUCUACAUGGCUUGCGCCCGUUUGCUUUGUAUGUUGGGUUUGGACUACAAUUGAAGAAAUGUAAAACAAUUAGUUUAUCAUGACGACAAUGAGGCAAUGCACGUACGACUGUUGUUCAUUUUUCAUCCUUUUUUCUUUCGGCACACUCUUUCUCAGAUUACUUUUUCACUUAUAGUGUUUCUGGGAUAUCUCCAAAGCAUCUGCGCAGAGGCCAAUUUCAAGCAUGUGGAAAUAGCUUAAUCCCAAGAUUAUUAAGUGUCCACUUAUUAGUGAGUCUUAGUUUCGUUAAGAUGUUAAGCCUUAUAGGGUCCAGGUUGUUAAACUUUUCUUAGGUACAAGCUCUUUCAAGGUGGUUGAAACUUUCAGGAGUUCAACAAUCUACUUUGUAAAAGGUGGAAGCUGGCUAUUCAGGAUUUUUGUUUCCUAAGAUGUCUGCUUAUGUUCUAAGAUAAGGUAAAUCCAGUGCUCGAGACCCCUUUAUACCUGUGAAUCAUUUGCACUCAAGUGUCAUUAAAUUCCGCUUACAGCACAAAUGGUAUUUGCUAUCUUAGCUCAAAUGGCAGCGCGCAUGGUUCUCAACCAUGUAGUUGUGGGUUCGACUCCCACGGAUGGCACAGUUUGUUUAGUAGGCUAAAACCGUACAUGCUUCCGAUGGCAAUAUUAGUUCUGCCAUACAUACACUGAAAUUAAAAAAAAAAAACAUGUCAUAUAUCAUUAUCAUUUUGGUGCCUAUAGCAAAAGAACGCAAACAUAGACUUUUUGCUUCAA